GAGAGAAUCCAGAAUAGAGAGAGAUGGAGUUUAGGAGGGGAAGACAGGCUUCCACAAGAGAGCGUGGGAGGGGGCUCCAGAGGGGAAAUCUAGGAGAGAAAAAGACAGCAACAGUGCAGGGAGUGU